rnacentral:rRNA from 1 species
AUUGAACGCUGGCGGCAGGCUUAACACAUGCAAGUCGAGCGGAGAUGAGGUGCUUGCACCUUAUCUUAGCGGCGGACGGGUGAGUAAUGCUUAGGAAUCUGCCUAUUAGUGGGGGACAACAUUCCGAAAGGAAUGCUAAUACCGCAUACGUCCUACGGGAGAAAGCAGGGGAUCUUCGGACCUUGCGCUAAUAGAUGAGCCUAAGUCGGAUUAGCUAGUUGGUGGGGUAAAGGCCUACCAAGGCGACGAUCUGUAGCGGGUCUGAGAGGAUGAUCCGCCACACUGGGACUGAGACACGGCCCAGACUCCUACGGGAGGCAGCAGUGGGGAAUAUUGGACAAUGGGGGAAACCCUGAUCCAGCCAUGCCGCGUGUGUGAAGAAGGCCUUAUGGUUGUAAAGCACUUUAAGCGAGGAGGAGGCUACUGAGACUAAUACUCUUGGAUAGUGGACGUUACUCGCAGAAUAAGCACCGGCUAACUCUGUGACAGCCGCCGCGGUAA